UACGUAGGGUGCAAGCGUUGUCCGGAAUUAUUGGGCGUAAAGAGCUCGUAGGCGGUCUGUCGCGUCUGCUGUGAAAUCCCGGGGCUCAACUCCGGGCUUGCAGUGGAUACGGGCAGACUAGAGUUCGGUAGGGGAGAUCGGAAUUCCUGGUGUAGCGGUGAAAUGCGCAGAUAUCAGGAGGAACACCGGUGGCGAAGGCGGAUCUCUGGGCCGUAACUGACGCUGAGGAGCGAAAGCAUGGGUAGCGAACAGG
rnacentral:rRNA from 1 species